rnacentral:lncRNA from 1 species
UUAAGAAGGACCUGGAAAAGUAUCCAAGGAUUCAAGACGAGAAACGAGCUCAUUUUCGACAAGGAUUUCGAGAAGCAUAAGGGAGUCUUUUUAGCCAAGGAAGCUAGGCUAGAAGCCAGUCAAUGAUGACUGUAAGUGGUUCUUCUCAUUAAAAAGAAUUUCUCGAAUGUAUUUAAAUCCUUAAAUCUAUUUCUAUGAAAACCACGAUGACGUGAAGUUCCUCUUGCUUUAAAUUUUCAAAAUGAGUGACAUGUGAAUGAACUAAAAAACUAGAAUGAGGAAAUAAACUACUCAUGUGGAACAACAUUUUAACUUCUAACAAAAAGAAAUGAUUUUAAAACCAAUUACUCAUGAUUUUAUAUGGUAAAUAUGUUGUAACAUGUGAUAGGUGACCUUUGUUAUUAUGAUGUUGGCAUCAUUUGAAGGAUGGAAAUGCUUAUGUAAUGUUAAAAAGUUAAAUGAGACUAUCUUUGUACCCUACGCGAUAUAAUUCCUUAUCCUUGUUGUGUGAUCUAGGAUAAGAUGCUCUAUUCUUGCUGUGUGAUCUUGAAUAACAUGCCCUAUUCUUGUUGUGUGUUCUUGAAUAGGAUGUCUCAUACUUGCCAAUGAUGUGUUAAUACAAAAUGGGUCACACAAGUUCAAAUUCAAGUUAAUUGGUGAUGUUGUCGAUGGUCUAUUACAGUUUAUGAAGAAGUUCAUGCAGAUAAAAUGUUGUUGAAAAAGCAUAAACGUUAAGCUUAAGCAUAUGAAAAACGUAGCAGGUUCAUCAAAGAGCUUUAGAUGAUCAAUUGUUGAUGUAAUCUUUCUUAUAAGAGGGAGACGACGACUUCCUCUAAAGAAGACGAAAUUCAUCCUUAUGGCAUGUUUGCGUUAUACUAUGAUGAAGGAUGUCAUAUUAGCAGUUUCAACACGAGGCAUUGACUUACUAGUUAUGCAAGGUGUGUGGUGGAAGCUAUGUCGUCGAAGGUUGAAUAACUUUUGGGUGAGCCAAGUAGGUGAAAAUUUACAACAUAAAUUUUAGCAAGGUUUAGCAACAUGCGACAAAAAAAAAAAAAACUUAGAAGGUGGGUAUGGUGGACUAAAUUAUAGUACUCUAAUUUCAAAAUAU